rnacentral:lncRNA from 1 species
UGGACUCCUGCUUAGCUUGUUCUGCAGCUGAGCCCCUGACCAUCCCCCAUGUGUUCUCCAUAUCCCCCCAGCUCAGGAAAAGCCCAGCUCCUUUUAGGUCCCAGGGGACCCUAGGAACCUUCAGCUCCUCCUGGGUGUGUCUAGUUCCCCCUCCACACUCUCUCAACGUCAGGGCUAAGUACCAAACUCACCCAUACCUGCUCUGUUGAAGUGGUACUGGCUACCCUUGCUUCCAGAGCCAAUCCUAUAACCUCCCUUGGGGAACCAGCGAAGGGGUGAAGAUCUCCUUGGAGUCUCAAGAGUACCAGAGUCAGCGCCGAAUCUUGUGGACACACUGACAAGGAUGUCUAAUCCAAAUAGAUGUAUAUCUGUGUGCUCAGUGUAUCCCUGUGUGAAUGAAGCCACUUGGAUUCUGGGGUGGGCAAAGAAGACCUGAAAAGAUUCUACAGCAGAAGGCCUGUGUCGCCACCAAAACCCCUCCCCCUGGUAUCAUUGUACCCACCUUGUACUCUGUUCAGGAGGCUGCCCAUGGAGGACUGCCACCCCUCCAGAUGAAGGCUCCCACUACCCGAUGCAGUUGAGUCCCAUCCUGCCCUCUCUGCCCACACUGGCUUCCUGCUGCUAUUCUAGUGCCUCAAAUAAACCGUUCACACCCUUUC